UACGGAGGAUGCAAGCGUUAUCCGGAAUGAUUGGGCGUAAAGCGUCCGCAGGUGGCUGUGUAAGUCUGCUGUUAAAGAGUCUAGCUCAACUAGAUACAAGCAGUGGAAACUACACGGCUAGAGUACGUUCGGGGCAGAGGGAAUUCCUGGUGUAGCGGUGAAAUGCGUAGAGAUCAGGAAGAACACCGGUGGCGAAAGCGUUCUGCUAGACCUGUACUGACACUGAGGGACGAAAGCUAGGGGAGCGAAUGGG
rnacentral:rRNA from 1 species